rnacentral:rRNA from 1 species
AUUGAACGCUGGCGGCAGGCCUAACACAUGCAAGUCGGGCGCGCGGCGGACGUGUGAGGAAGGUAAGGGGAUCGGCCUGAUGGAUGGGGAUAACUACUGGAAACGGUAGCUAAUACCGCAUACCACCAGAUGAACCCAUAUGGGCUUAGCUUCUCGGUGAGGUAACGGCUCACCUAGGAGACGCUCCCUAGCUGGUCUUAUAGGAUGAUGAGCAACACUGGGAAUGAGACACGGCCAAGACUACUACGGGAGGCAGCAGUGGGGAAUAUUGCACAAUGGGCGAAAGCCUGAGGCAGCAAUGCCGCGUGGAUGAAGAAGGCCUUCGGGUUGUAAAGUACUUUCAGUCGGGAGGCGUUACCGACAGAAGAAGCACCGGCUAACUCCGUGCCAGCAGCCGCGGUAAUUC